CGUGGCGGCCGCGGCGGCGGCGGAGUCACGCGCGGUGAGCUGACACGGUGGCCCCAUACCUCGUUAAGAAGAAGGGAGACGUGUACGACGACGGGUAUCCUCGUCAGAUUAAUCCGUUUCAGAGCUGCUGCUGCUGAUCGCCCGCGGGCGGUAAAGAGGGCGAGCGCCCACCGGACGGGCACUUGUCAAAUUACCGAGUGUCGUCCAGUCUGUCUGUCAUUCCAGAUAGCCAGUCAGCCUGUCAGUCAUCUGCUGACGGAUGCCUGCGCUAUGUUUGUUGCUGUGUGCGGUGCCUGCGUCACGCCCAGCUAGCCCACCGCCCAUCACGCCCAGGCACAAGACGGACAGCCCGGCGGACAGCCCGGCGGACAGCCCGGCGGACAGCCCGGCGGACAGCCCGGCGGCGCGCGGCGCGAUAGCUCUUCGGCUGUUCCGCCAGACAGAUGGACAGACUCUGUUGCACAUCGAGAUCGAGACGGACGACGCUGGCGGGGCCGACGGAAGUGGCGGUGCUGGAGCAGCCGCCGUCGCCGCUUGCCGACGUCGGCGACGACCUUCAGCAGCGGCGGCAGAGACGUGAGGCAGAGAAGCAAAGGGGGGGACUUCUUCUUUCUUCGUGUCAACCUCAAUGGACAAUUAAACUUAUGAUCUUA